GACAGAAGGAGUGCGUUGGCGCCGCUACCGCUGCUCAUAAAGGGAUUCAUACCUUUGGAGAAACACGAGUCGGAUAGUCAGGACUGCCCACUUCAACUUGACUGUCUUCAUUCAUACCACAUCGAGUAGAAGGGACCGUGGAGGAGAUGGGGAGAGGGGAACGAGGCCUGCCGUCUUGAAGAGGACAGCUGGGGUUCAGAUCGUGCUUCUUCAACAUUAGCCAGGAGUGUAGCUGGGAAAACAGUUUGAGAUCUUUCCCAGUGCCGGAUGGACACCCCCCGUCAACUCUCUUGGACUCGACCUAACACUUCUACGAGAGCAGACAUUCUGGAACAAUGGAGUUGCCUGAAGAAGACAGUCCUCUCUCACUGACAUGGAAGGACAUCUGUGACUGGAGCACACUCAACCUAACAACCCCAUCGAAAGUAGCCAUCCUAUAGAUAGACUGAAGUGUAGUUUAAGCGACACCCAUUUGUUCAAUUCAUAGAUGUUGAACAGUCAGCCAAGGCUCACAGGAAGAUUCGGAGGGAGUAUGG